AAGGCCGCGCGACAGCGACACUCGGUAUUUAUACAGCGCGGGCAUCUCGCGAGAGCAGUGUCCGCCCUGCGAGCUGAAUGAGGAAUACACCGCGGGCUGAAACGAACUAUUUAUGAUAAAUUAUACAGAGUAUGGGGCGGCAGCGCCCGGCAGUGCCAGCCCAGUAAGCUGAAUGAUGAAUACACCGCGGGCUGGAACGAGCGAUUUAUGAUAAAUUAUACAGAGUGCGGGGCGGGCGCGACUCCCGGGAUAAACGGGCGUGCACGGCCGGCGCCCUCAGAGCGCGUCGGGGCUGCGGUAGGUGCCGAUCCCGGCCGCUGAGAGCCGCGGCCCCGCCGGGGCUGGGCUGGCACUUCACGGCGAUCCCUUCCCCGGAGGAGCUGUGAAGAGCACGGGGAUGCCGUGAUGGAUGGCGACAUGGGAGUCACAGCUAAAAAUUACUCGUUUUGUACUUUGAUGUGCAAUAAAAGAUUAAAUGAUUAAAAGAUAAA